rnacentral:rRNA from 1 species
AUUGAACGCUGGCGGCAGGCCUAACACAUGCAAGUCGAGCGGAUGAAGGGAGCUUGCUCCUGGAUUCAGCGGCGGACGGGUGAGUAAUGCCUAGGAAUCUGCCUGGUAGUGGGGGAUAACGUCCGGAAACGGGCGCUAAUACCGCAUACGUCCUGAGGGAGAAAGUGGGGGAUCUUCGGACCUCACGCUAUCAGAUGAGCCUAGGUCGGAUUAGCUAGUUGGUGGGGUAAAGGCCUACCAAGGCGACGAUCCGUAACUGGUCUGAGAGGAUGAUCAGUCACCUUGGACCUGGACACCGGCCAGGAUCCUACGGGAGGCAAGAGUGGGGAAAUUUGGACAAUGGGGGGAAGCCUGAUCCAGCCAUGCCGCGUGUGUGAAGAAGGUCUUCGGAUUGUAAAGCACUUUAAGUUGGGAGGAAGGGCAGUAAGUUAAUACCUUGCUGUUUUGACGUUACCAACAGAAUAAGCACCGGCUAACUUCGUG